rnacentral:rRNA from 1 species
GAUGAACGCUGGCGGCGUGCCUAAUACAUGCAAGUCGAGCGAACAGACGAGGAGCUUGCUCCUCUGACGUUAGCGGCGGACGGGUGAGUAACACGUGGAUAACCUACCUAUAAGACUGGGAUAACUUCGGGAAACCGGAGCUAAUACCGGAUAAUAUAUUGAACCGCAUGGUUCAAUAGUGAAAGACGGUUUUGCUGUCACUUAUAGAUGGAUCCGCGCCGCAUUAGCUAGUUGGUAAGGUAACGGCUUACCAAGGCAACGAUGCGUAGCCGACCUGAGAGGGUCAUCGGCCACACUAGACCUGAGACACCGUCCAGUCUCCUGCCGAAGCCCGCGGUAUGAAAUCUUCCGACCUGCGCGAAAGCCUAGCGGAGCAACGCCGCGUGAAUGAUGAGGAUCUUCGGAUCGUAGCGCUCUGUUAUUAGGGAAGACCGAAUGUGUAAGUAACUAUGCACUUCUUGCCGGUCCCUAACCCGAAAGCCACGGCUAACUACUUG